rnacentral:rRNA from 1 species
UACGUAGGGGGCUAGCGUUGUCCGGAAUCAUUGGGCGUAAAGCGCGUGUAGGCGGUCCGGUAAGUCCGCUGUGAAAGUCGAGGGCUCAACCCUCGAAUGCCGGUGGAUACUGUCGGGCUAGAGUACGGAAGAGGCGAGUGGAAUUCCUGGUGUAGCGGUGAAAUGCGCAGAUAUCAGGAGGAACACCGGUGGCGAAGGCGGCAUCCUGGACCGGCAUUGACGCUGAUGAGCGAAAGCCAGGGGAGCAAACGGG